rnacentral:rRNA from 1 species
UACAGAGGUCUCGAGCGUUAGGCGGAAUCACUGGGCUUAAAGCGUGUGUAGGCGGAUCGUUAAGUACCUUGUGAAAUCCCACGGCUUAACCGUGGAACUGCUUGGUAUACUGGCGGUCUGGAGGGAGGUAGGGGCGUGCGGAACUAACGGUGGAGCGGUGAAAUGCGUUGAUAUCGUUAGGAACUCCGGUGGCGAAGGCGGCACGCUGGACCUCUUCUGACGCUGAGGCACGAAAGCCAGGGGAGCGAACGGG